rnacentral:rRNA from 1 species
GUGGGGAAUAUUGGACAAUGGGCGAAAGCCUGAUCCAGCCAUGCCGCGUGUGUGAAGAAGGUCUUCGGAUUGUAAAGCACUUUAAGCGAGGAGGAGGCUCCUUUAGUUAAUACCUAAAGUGAGUGGACGUUACUCGCAGAAUAAGCACCGGCUAACUCUGUGCCAGCAGCCGCGGUAAUACAGAGGGUGCGAGCGUUAAUCGGAUUUACUGGGCGUAAAGCGUGCGUAGGCGGCUUUUUAAGUCGGAUGUUAAAUCCCUGAGCUUAACUUAGGAAUUACAUUCGAUACUGGAAAGCUAGAGUAUGGGAGAGGAUGGUAGAAUUCCAGGUGUAGCGGUGAAAUGCGUAGAGAUCUGGAGGAAUACCGAUGGCGAAGGCAGCCAUCUGGCCUAAUACUGACGCUGAGGUACGAAAGCAUGGGGAGCAAACAGGAUUAGAUACCCCUGUAGUCC